rnacentral:lncRNA from 1 species
AGUUUUUUUGGGGAGGGCAAAGAAGAGAAUCUGCUUUGGGGAGAGGAUGGUUUGGAGCACUGUAAAAGGAAGGCCUCCCUAAGGGUACAAAAGGAGGUAGUGCUGUUUUGGAGAGCAUGUUUAUAAGAGGAGGCAAGGUCCAAUGGGUAACUGAGGGGCACAAUGGGGAUGCUCUCUGGGAGAUAGGGCAUGGGCCCAGUCUCUAGGAGAGGGGUUGGUUUAGGGGAAUCAUCAGGAGAGACCUCCCUGGGGCCGCCCAUAUAAGAGGCAUUGAGGGCCGUUGGGGGCAAAAUGAGGAGGGCUCUAUGGGAAGGGGGUAGUUUGGGGGUGCUGUCAGAGGGAAGCCUCUUGGGCAGCCUAAUGGUGGGAGCAGCCUGGGGGAAGGGGCGAUUGUAAGCACAAUGGUGGACAGCUUGAGGAGGGGACAUCGGAGGGACACAACAGGGACGCUCAAUGAGGAGGGGGCGGUUGGGGGCGUUGUCGGAGGAGGCCUCUUAUGCAGCCCAAUGGGGGCGCUGCCUGGGGGAGGGGGCGGUUGGGGUCAUAUUGCGGAGGCGGCCUGGAAUAGGGAGAUUUCAGGGGGAUGCUCUUUUGGGGAGGGGUUGGCAGAAAGCUGCCCGAGCUGUACGUGAACCGAGGCGGGGGGCGGGGGCCGUGCCGUGCCGGGCAGCGGCUGCCUUCGCUGCGGUACCUGACGAAGGACGAUCCUCCGCUCGCGGCCGCCGGGGCCCGGAUCGGGAGCGGCCCAGCAGACGAGGGUGAAACAGGUCCAUGGCGGCGGCUGGGGCCUCGGCGAGGAUCCGCAGGAAACGCCGGCCGCUCCGAGGAGCGCUCAGGCCGGGGCCGGGGCCGGGGCUGGGGCUGGGGCUGGGGCGGGGGCCGGAGCUGUGUCCAUCCUCGGGGCGGGGGAGGGGGUGAAGGCGGGGCCGGACCAAGGAGGAGCCGCCCCCGAGGGCGGGGCUCCAUUGUCGCCUCCAGGGGGGCGGGGCGAAUAGGAGCGCACCACUCUGAGAGGAGCGAGGAGGGGUUGUUGGAGGAGAUGCCUCCUCACCGGGGUAAAAAGUUUCCAACAUUAAAAAAAAAAUGAGUCUCGAAUUCUUUCUCUCCCUGUUCCCUUUUGCCUCCUCACACUGAGAUG